AGCGAACACUGGCGGCAGGCCUAACACAUGCAAGUCGAACGAAGUCUUCGGACUUAGUGGCGGACGGGUGAGUAACACGUGGGAACGUGCCCUUUGGUACGGAAUAACUCAGGGAAACUUGAGCUAAUACCGUAUGUGCCCUUCGGGGGAAAGAUUUAUCGCCAUUGGAGCGGCCCGCGUCUGAUUAGCUAGUUGGUGAGGUAAAGGCUCACCAAGGCGACGAUCAGUAGCUGGUCUGAGAGGAUGAUCAGCCACAUUGGGACUGAGACACGGCCCAAACUACUACGGGAGGCAGCAGUGGGGAAUCUUGCGCAAUGGGCGAAAGCCUGACGCAGCCAUGCCGCGUGAAUGAUGAAGGUCUUAGGAUUGUAAAAUUCUUUCACCGGGGACGAUAAUGACGGUACCCGGAGAAGAAGCCCCGGCUAACUUCGUGCCAGCAGCCGCGGUAAAAC
rnacentral:rRNA from 1 species